rnacentral:rRNA from 1 species
UAUAUGGGAUUAGUUUUUAGAUUAUUUAUAGUCUAUUAAUUCAAUCCCGGGGCGUUCUAUUUGGUUAUGUAUAAUAAUAUUUAUAUUAUUUAUACCUCUAACUAGAGCGUACCUUGAGCAUAUAUGCUGUGACCCGAAAGAUGGUGAACUAUACUUGAUCAGGUUGAAGUCAGGGGAAACCCUGAUGGAAGACCGAAACAGUUCUGACGUGCAAAUCGAUUGUCAGAAUUGAGUAUAGGGGCGAAAGACCAAUCGAACCAUCUAGUAGCUGGUUCCCUCCGAAGUUUCCCUCAGGAUAGCUGGUGCAUUUAGAAAUUAUGUAAAAUAAUCUUAUCUGGUAAAGCGAAUGAUUAGAGGCCUUAGGGUCGAAACGACCUUAACCUAUUCUCAAACUUUAAAUGGGUAAGAACCUCACCUUUCUUGGUAUGAAGGUUGUGGUUGUGAUAUAAUGUGCCCAGUGGGCCACUUUUGGUAAGCAGAACUGGCGCUGUGGGAUGAACCAAACGUAAUGUUACGGUGCCCAAAUUAACAACUCAUGCAGAUACCAUGAAAGGCGUUGGUUGCUUAAAACAGCA